UACGUAGGGGGCAAGCGUUGUCCGGAUUUAUUGGGCGUAAAGAGCGUGUAGGCGGCUUGGUAGGUCCGCUGUGAAAACUCGAGGCUCAACCUCGAGAUGUCGGCGGAAACCACUUGGCUAGAGUCCGGAAGAGGAGAGUGGAAUUCCCGGUGUAGCGGUGAAAUGCGCAGAUAUCGGGAAGAACACCUAUGGCGAAGGCGACGUCCUGGACCGGCAUUGACGCUGAGGCGCGAAAGCCAGGGGAGCAAACGGG
rnacentral:rRNA from 1 species